rnacentral:rRNA from 1 species
UACGUAGGGUGCAAGCGUUGUCCGGGAUUAUUGGGCGUAAAGAGCUCGUAGGCGGUUUGUCGCGUCUGCUGUGAAAGUUCGGGGCUCAACCCCGGAACUGCAGUGGGUACGGGCAGACUAGAGUGCGGUAGAGGAGACUGGAAUUCCUGGUGUAGCGGUGGAAUGCGCAGAUAUCAGGAGGAACACCAGUGGCGAAGGCGGGUCUCUGGGCCGCAACUGACGCUGAGGAGCGAGAGCGUGGGGAGCGAACAGC